UUAAAAUUAGUUUUUAAAAUAUCAGAAACAAACCCCAGAAGUUUCUCAGGCAAUCUAAUGUGUAUUCAUUUCCUCCCCUUGCUCUAGGUGGCAAUGCUAUAAUUGCUUCUAAUCCUUAAGCAUCACUUAUGUGCACUAUUGAUUGAGUUACACUUCAGCACUGACAUACUGGAACUUAAUCUGGCUUGAAAAAAAUAAUGUUGAUAACCCCUUUACAGACUUAUCCUUUGCAGAUUUUUGAAGUUAGCCUUGUAAGCAGAACGCAUAUUUCUUUUCUACAAUUUCAUACUUUCUGUUUGUGAUGUUUCCUGCAGAAAGGCUAUUCUUAAGUCAUUGGUGAUCUUUGUAUUGCUGCCUCUGGUGGUAACUCCUCAGUCUUAAUUUCCCCUCAGCUGCCAGGAUCAUUUAUGGAGUUCUUUUUGAAACAUGCUCUUCCCUUGGCCUCUGUGACACUGAAUUUACUUUGAUUUUCCUCUGACUUAAUGGUUUGUCUUCCUUGUCUUUUGGCUCACUUUUAAAACUAUUUGACCUUUAAAUUUCAAUGUAUUUUAGAAACAAUUCCUAGAGUCUCUUGUGUCUUCUCUCCGGGUCAGUUCAUAUAGAUUCAUGGCUGUAACUUCUCUACCUUGCCAAGAUCUUCCCACUGACCUACAGAACUGUAUCCAAAUAACUAAUUUUCUAUCCAAAUUUGAACGAUUGCAUAUGAAGAGAAAGCCCUGAUCACCUUACACUAACAAUAAGGCAAGCAGACCUUGCCUUAUUGUUAUAUAUAGACCACAUCUAUAUAUGAUUGAUAAUUAUACACUAGGCACUUAGCAUUUGGGACAAAGAAGAUGAUUCCUCAAAGGUCAAUUUUUACCAUUCUUCUUCAAUGAUGGAUUCCUGGAUUUUCACUCAGAAGAGUCUCUACAAUAAGAAUGCAUUUCCAAACUGCCUUUACAGAUGCAAGUGGCAAAUAGAUAUCAUUUGCACUAUAAUAUAUAGGAUGAAUUAUUGUGUACAUCUUUUAAGAUGUAGUUUCUUAAAUAUGGUUUACAUUCAUUUUUUUUUACUAUUUUCUAUUUCCUUCACAGAUUAUAAAUUUUAAGUAGUGUACAAUCCUUCAGUGGGGCAUAUUUUUUAAGAAACAGUGCACAGGUUAGAAGGCUAAAAUUAUUUAAAGAAUCACCAAAGAAGUUUUCAAAUGCUUGUGUUUAUGUGAAAGAUAUCAUGUAAUUUUACUGUCCCUUGUUAAUAGAACAAACUUCUAUUUCUGAGCCCAGACUUCUCAGUUCAUUGGAAUUCAUUCAUAUUUUAAAUAAUAUUUAUUGAAUUCUUGACAUUGAUAAGGGUGUAAUGGUGAGCAGAAUAGAGGAGUCUUGAAUAUAACAUGCUGGCAGAUAUGGGCCUAUUGAUAUUUCCUAAUAAACUAUUCUAUGAUACUAUACUAUAUUAAUAACAUAUCUAUGAUAACAAAUGAUAUAAUUUAUUGAAAUAAUAAACCAAGGGAAGAAGUAGACAAUGCCCCAGAAUUUUGAAAUGUUUACCUUUUUCAGUUUUAAAUAUACUGAGAAAGUUUUUAAUGAUUUUCCAUCACGUUUAUUAGGUGAGUGUUCUUAUGGGGGAUGUGGGCACAUGGAUGCAUGUGCCAGUGGAAGCCUGAUGAGGGAAUGUCAGAUUCACAGAGUGGGAAUUACAGGUAGUUGUGAGCCUCCCAAAACAGGUGCAGAGCACUGAAAUCAGGUCCUCUCCAAGAGCAGUGUGGGUUCAAACUGUCUAGUCCAUCCUCCAGCCUCCAUGCAUUAGUUUUAAAGGGAUGUCUCUACAUGUAAAUAUGAAGAAUGCUGCAGGGCAGAGUAUAAAUAGCACAGGGCAGAGGCAGAACACCUGAGAAAUUGUUGCCAACAUUUGGAGGAAGAGGCCAGUAGAAUCACAAGUUGAUCUAAAUAAACUAACUCACCCUGUAACUUGCCACCACUUCCAGUGUCACUGCCUUCCCUGAUAUUACAGCUCAGUGAAUCCCAACUUACCUCUAAGCUCAUGUAGAAUUUUUCAGAGGAGAGAGCUCAGACCAUUUUGGUUUUUUUUUCAAUGUGCAGAUUUUUCUUACUAUUGCUCCUGAGAAUCCAGUCGCAGUCUUGUCCUUUAAGGUUUUAUUUAUUUGGAUAUUAUAAUUGUAUAGAAUAAAGAAACAUGGUCUCAAAAAUGUCGUCCUCAUUAAAACAAGCUAUGAUGAGUUCCCAUUGCGUCUAUGUUUUCCUUACUAAAUAUAUUAAUUUCUAUAUCAUCACAGGGUGAUAUUUGUUAAUUAAAGAUAAAAUAUAGGAUGUAUUGAUGAGUCCUUGAGAGCACCUAUUACAUACCAUGGGUAGCCAUUUAACCCAUACAUUAACAGCAAAGCAACCAGCUCAGCUUUUCCUGUUUACCAGUAAAAAAGAACUAAACAAAACAAAUCCAUCAAUAUGUUUGAGAAUUUGAUAACAGAAAUAAUUUCAGCAUAUUAUGAUACAAGAAAUCUGAUCAGCAUUAUGCAUUCCAAAUUUUCACUCUGUCAUAUCGUAGUUCAACUUCUUUGCUUGAGGAGAAAAGUAUAAUGUGUAAUGCAAGAUAGAUAACUGCAUGCUUUAAUCCUUUUCC
rnacentral:lncRNA from 1 species